rnacentral:rRNA from 1 species
UUCUGGCUCAGAUUGAACGCUGGCGGCGUGCCUAACACAUGCAAGUCGUGCGUGAAAGGGCUUCGGCCUGAGUAAAGCGGCGCACGGGUGAGUAACGCGUGGAUGAUCUGCCCAUGAGUUGGGAAUAACGGCUGGAAACGGUCGCUAAUACCGAAUACGCUCCGAUUUCACAGUUCGGGGGAAAGGUGGCCUCUGCUUGCAAGCUACCGCUCAUGGAUGAGUCCGCGUCCCAUUAGCUAGUUGGGGGGGUAAUGGCCCACCAAGGCGACGAUGGGUAGCCGACCUGAGAGGGUGAUCGGCCACACUGGGACUGGAACACGGCCCAGACUCCUACGGGAGGCAGCAGUGGGGAAUAUUGCGCAAUGGGCGAAAGCCUGACGCAGCGACGCCGCGUGAGGGAUGAAGGCCUUCGGGUCGUAAACCUCUGUCAGGAGGGAAGAACCGCCAUGGUGCUAAUCAGCCAUGGUCUGAAGGUACCUCCAAAGGAAGCACCGGCUAACUCCGUGCCAGCAGCCGCGGUAAUACGGAGGGUGCAAGCGUUAAUCGGAAUCACUGGGCGUAAAGCGCACGUAGGCUGUUUGGUAAGUCAGGGGUGAAAUCCCGCGGCUCAACC